AGUGAACGCUGGCGGUAGGCCUAACACAUGCAAGUCGAACGGCAGCACAGUAAGAGCUUGCUCUUACGGGUGGCGAGUGGCGGACGGGUGAGGAAUACAUCGGAAUCUACUUUUUCGUGGGGGAUAACGUAGGGAAACUUACGCUAAUACCGCAUACGACCUACGGGUGAAAGCAGGGGAUCUUCGGACCUUGCGCGAUUGAAUGAGCCGAUGUCGGAUUAGCUAGUUGGCGGGGUAAAGGCCCACCAAGGCGACGAUCCGUAGCUGGUCCGAGAGGAUGAUCAGCCACACUGGAACUGAGACACGGUCCAGACUCCUACGGGAGGCAGCAGUGGGGAAUAUUGGACAAAGGGCGCAAGCCUGAUCCAGCCAUACCGCGUGGGUGAAGAAGGCCUUCGGGUUGUAAAGCCCUUUUGUUGGGAAAGAAAAGCAGCAGGUUAAUACCCCGCUGUUCUGACGGUACCCAAAGAAUAAGCACCGGCUAACUUCGUG
rnacentral:rRNA from 1 species